rnacentral:rRNA from 1 species
AGAGAGAGACAUGCGCGCAUAUCAAUAAGCGGAGGAAAAGAAACUAACAAGGAUUCCCCUUAGUAACGGCGAGUGAAGCGGGAAGAGCUCAAAUUUGAAAUCUUCAAGGGUUCUACCUUUACGAAUUGUAGUUUAUAAGAAGUGUUUUCUGUUGGAGUUCGGUAAAAGUUCUUUGGAAUAGGACAUCAUAGAGGGUGAGAAUCCCGUAUUUGUACAGUUCCUUCUAGCUGUGUGAUACACUUCUCAACGAGUCGGAUUGUUUGGGAAUGCAGUCCAAGAUGGGUGGUAAAUUUCAUCUAAAGCUAAAUAUUGGCGAGAGACCGAUAGCGAACAAGUACCGUGAGGGAAAGAUGAAAAGAACUUUGAAAAGAGAGUUAAACAGUACGUGAAAUUGUCAAAAGGGAAGCGUUUGACACCAGUGUUGUUUUUCCGAAAAUCAAUUACGAAUGUUUUGUUUUUGAGGAGUUAUGACUUCAUCGGCUUGCUCCUUUCUUUACGAAACUUUCUUAAUGCACUUUUCGGUUAACAAGUCAACAUCAAUUUCUUUUGUUGUAAAAGGGUAUGAGGAAGGUGGCUUUCUUUUCGGAGAAAGUGUUUAUAGCCUUGUGCCUCUGCAAUCGGAGAGAUUGAGGUCUGCAGCGUAGAUCCUUCGGGGUUAGAUACGUUUGUGCUAAGUUAUAGCUUUUCAUAGACAACUUGUUGACUAUGUUUAGUCUUGUAGCUUACUCGCUGACGCUAUUUUACCUACGCUUAGGAUGUUGAUAGUCACAGCGUGUAC